AACUUUUAGCAAUGGAUCACUUGGCUCUCGCAUCGAUGAAGCACGCAGCGAAAUGCGAUAAGUAAUGUGAAUUGCACAUUUUCAGUGAAUCAUCGAAUCUUUGAACGCACCUUGCGCCCCUUGGUAUUCCGAGGGGCAUGCCUGUUUGAGUGUCAUUAAAUUCUCAACUCCGAUUUGAUUUGUUUCCAAUCGGAGCUUGGACUUGGAGUGUGCUGGCGUCUAGUCGGCUCCUCUCAAAUGCAUCAGCGGAAUCUAACCUUUGGUUUCCGGACGUCGGUGUGAUAAUAAAGUUGCGCCGUCAUUCGACUUCAAAGUCCGCUUAUAAUGGUCUUCGGACAAACUCUUAUAUCAAAUUUGACCUCAAAUCAGGUAGGACUACCCGCUGAACUUAAGCAUAUCAAUAGCGGAGGCU
rnacentral:misc_RNA from 1 species